rnacentral:rRNA from 1 species
CACGUAGGCACCAAGCGUUUGUCCGGAUUUAUUGGGCGUAAAGAGCUCGUAGGCGGUUUGUCGCGUCUGCCGUGAAAGUCCGGGGCUCAACUCCGGAUCUGCGGUGGGUACGGGCAGACUAGAGUGAUGUAGGGGAGACUGGAAUUCCUGGUGUAGCGGUGAAAUGCGCAGAUAUCAGGAGGAACACCGAUGGCGAAGGCAGGUCUCUGGGCCGAUACUGACGCUGAGGAGCGAAAGCGUGGGGAGCGAACAGG